GUUCUUUAUACAAAUUCUCUCUUUUGUCUUAUCUGGGCAUAAUUCCUCUUCUAAGAUUGUGUUUUAUAUUCAUUUUCAUCUACUUUACAUUUUGUUUGUUUCUCCUUUAGGUCUGAAAGUAUGGUCUGACCCAUUCGCAGGAAGUAAAAAGUAAUCUGCAUUACAUAAAGACAAAUCAUUUCCUCUAAAUGCUAAAUUAUGGAAAAUCCUUCUAUUUUGUCUGCUUUUGUACAAAAUAUAAAUAAAACAAGC